GGCUUGCUCUAAGCAGCUUCUGUGCGGCCAGCCCAUGAGGUGCCGAUGGGAAGAGGAACUUACAUCUGCAGUGAACUGAGGGCAAGCAAACCCCAGCAAAAACCCAUGCAUCAAGAUGUUCUUCACAGCACAUGUUCCGUUAAAGGUUUGGCUUUUAGUACACAUGGGAAUAGGAGUACAUUUUGGGAGCUCAGUUGCUUGCAACAGUAAACAG